rnacentral:rRNA from 1 species
GACAGAGGGUGCAAACGUUGUUCGGAAUUACUGGGCGUAAAGCGCGUGUAGGCGGCUAUGCAAGUCGGAUGUGAAAGCCCUCGGCUCAACCGGGGAAGUGCACCCGAAACUGCAAAGCUAGAGUCUCGGAGAGGAUCGUGGAAUUCUCGGUGUAGCGGUGAAAUGCGCAGAUAUCGGGAAGAACACCCGUGGCGAAGGCGGUUCUACUGGGACGGUACUGACGCUGAGACGCGAAAGCGUGGGGAGCGAACAGG